GUAUGUGCCCCUGGACCACAUCGUACAUGUCCUCACCAUGCAGUCCGUGGGCAUAUACAC
rnacentral:pre_miRNA from 1 species